GGCAAUGUAGCUCAGUGGUACAGUGCUUGCCUAGAAUGUCUGAGGCCCUUGGUUCAAUCCCCAGCAUUGCAA
rnacentral:tRNA from 1 species